rnacentral:misc_RNA from 1 species
UGGUUCUGGCAUCGAUGAAGAACGCAGCGAAAUGCGAUAAGUAAUGUGAAUUGCAGAAUUCAGUGAAUCAUCGAAUCUUUGAACGCACAUUGCGCCCUCUGGUAUUCCGGGGGGCAUGCCUGUUCGAGCGUCAUUACAACCCUCAAGCUCUGCUUGGUAUUGGGCCCUGCCGUCUGGCAGGCCUUAAAAGCAGUGGCGGUGCCGGCUGGCUUCAAGCAUAGUAAAUCUUCUUGCUUCUGGAGUCAGGCGGUCGCUUGCCAUGAACCCCAAAUUUUCAGGUUGACCUCGGAUCAGGUAGGGAUACCCGCUGA